AGGGGACUGAAUACGGAAGAGACAUUGAGAAUCUAAAAAUUCAAGCCAUAGAGCACGGCUAAAACUAUAGAAGAGAGUUAAAGGGAGAUCGAAUCUAGGAUUGAGAGCAAUUUUUUAGAUCUGAGCUCAAGAGAUCAAACAAAGAGUAAGGAUAGAGGAUGCUGAAUGAUUGAAGAUUCAGAGGGAGAAGCAACAACUAAUUGAGCACUCAAAGAAGCUAGAUUAUGCACAUAACAGGGUAAAGAUGAAAGGCAAUAAAGCGGAGAGUAAUGGCUCAGCUUCAAAUGGGUGAAGAGAGCACAAGAAGGUCGAAAAAGAAAGUAAGCAAAGAGUAGCUUCAUUUGGUAUUGGUAUGACUACCACAUGUAUAAAUGAAUGUAUAAGAUUAUUUAUAAAGUUGAGUUGCCAACGAGAAUGUGUAUGUGAAUUGUGUUGUGAAUCUUGCUUGUGUAUGUACAUGAUGUUGCAUUUCGCCGAGGUUGCCUUAGUGAGAGGGUACGUGGGUAGGCUUAGAUACUAAACAAACAAGUAUAUAAUAUUGUGUAACUUGUUCCACUUGUGUAUACAUGUUGAAUUUGAAUUGA